GACGAACGCUGGCGGCGUGCCUAAUACAUGCAAGUAGGACGCAGUUGCGAACGGGUGAGUAACGCGUAGGUAACUGCAUAUUAGAGGGGGAUAACUAUUGGAAACGAUAGCUAAUACCGCAUACUAGUAGAUGGACCUGCGUUGUAUUAGCUAGUAGGUAGGGUAAUGGCCUACCUAGGCAACGAUACAUAGCCGAGCUGAGAGGGAGGUCGGCCAAACUGGGACCUGGACACGGCCCAGAAUCCUACGGGAAGCAACAGGAGGGGAUUAUCGGCAAUGGGGGGAACCCUGACCGAGCAAAGCCGCGGGGGAGGAGAAGGUUUUCGGAUCGUAAAGCUCUGUUGUUCAGGGAGCGGUACUUAACCAGAAAGGAACGGCUAACUACGUGCCAGCCGCCGCGGUAAUAC
rnacentral:rRNA from 1 species